GUCAACAGCCAUACCACACUGAAUGGGCUGGAUCUCGUCUGAUCUCAGAAGCUAAGCAGGGUCAGGCCUGGUUAAGUACUUGGAUGGGAGAAAGAGAAAAAGAAAGAGGGCUGGAGAGC
rnacentral:rRNA from 1 species